UACGGAGGGAGCUAGCGUUGUUCGGAAUUACUGGGCGUAAAGCGCGUGUAGGCGGCCAUGCAAGUCGGAUGUGAAAGCCCUCGGCUCAACCGGGGAAGUGCACUCGAAACUGCAAGGCUAGAGUCUCGGAGAGGAUCGUGGAAUUCUCGGUGUAGAGGUGAAAUUCGUAGAUAUCGAGAGGAACACCGGUGGCGAAGGCGGCGAUCUGGACGAUGACUGACGCUGAGACGCGAAAGCGUGGGGAGCAAACAGG
rnacentral:rRNA from 1 species